CCUACGGGAGGCAGCAGUGGGGAAUAUUGCACAAUGGGCGAAACCCUGAUGCAGCGACGCCGCGUGAGUGAAGAAGUAUUUCGGUAUGUAAAGCUCUAUCAGCAGGGAAGAAAAUGAAGGUACCUGAUUAAGAAGCCCUGGCUAACUACGUGCCAGCAGCCGCGGUAAUACGCCGGGGGCCAGCGUUAUCCGGAUUUACUGGGUGUAAAGGGAGCGUAGACGGCAGCACAAGUCUGGAGUGAAGUGCCGGGGCUUAACCCCGGAACUGCUUUGGACACUGGGCAGCUUGAGUGCAGGAGAGGUAAGUGGAAUUCCUAGUGUAGCGGUGAAAUGCGUAGAUAUCAGGAGGAACACCAGUGGCGAAGGCGGCUUACUGGACUGUAACUGACGUUGAGGCUCGAAAGCGUGGGGAGCAAACAGGAUUAGAUACCCGUGUAGUC
rnacentral:rRNA from 1 species